rnacentral:tRNA from 1 species
GGACAGAUGGCCGAGUUGGUUAUGGCGCCAGGUUAAGGUCUUAUCUUAACAGCAGUUUCCUGGUCUCGUUUGAGGCGUGGGUUCGAAUCCCACUCUGUUCA